GUACGCCCACCGGCCCGCCCACCGGGCCCCAUCCUCCUAACCCGACCGCUACUCACCUGAACCCUGUGUCGUCGCAAGCGCGCGAGGAGAUCGCGGCGGAGCACACUCUACACUGUGUGUACGCGGAGGCGGUGGCCAUGGCAGAGGAGAACCAUGUUGCUGCCGGCGCCGGCCAGAAGCUCUACUGGUCCCGACAAACCAGAGCCACUGCGGCUCAACGCCUGCGUUUCGCGGCACGUUGCUACCUGCACGCUCUAACACAUACCCUCCACGCAACCGUUGUGGCCGCACAACCCCGGUCGUAGGCAUGGGCACUCCACGCUCACCAUGCCCCAUGGUUUGCUUGUGUAAUUGCGUGAAGGAGCUACACACCUUGGGUUGUUAUCAUUCCGGUCAGUUUCUAUGCCCAUGCAUCCUUGUUUGUGAACAAGUGUCUAGCUGUGAAUUUUUUUAGAAAUUUAGCAGCAUGGUAGUUAUAGUUUUAUCUUAAUUCCUAUGCCACUGAGAGCUACAAACACAAAGAUACAACACCUAAUGUAUAUUUGAGAAUUCUCAAUUGUAACUUUUGAUGUUUCAGCUAUGGAGAAACAUGUUUAUUGACAAAUAUUCUAUACCUUUAUUUAUCGCAUUAUAGGGUAGCACAAAGCAUGGAAAAGAAAUAAACAUGAAAUAACAAAUAGUUCACCAUCAGUUUCAAAUUAGCUAAUAUCUAGCUUGCCUCAAAUUCACAUUCAAGCUUGUCAUCUGACAAACCAUAUACCCUUGACGGCUGAAAGUACCAACCUUAUCGCUCCAAAUCUGUUUGUUCAGAUAUGCAUGUCUUGACUUAUUCCUUCACAAGUAGCUUUGCCUUGGUGAACUAUUGAUAGUAGACUACUGUUACUUAUUGUCUUAAACAAGAACCUUCAGCAACUCCCUACGUUGCACCUUAUGCAUAUGUCUUUGCUUGGUUAUCCCCGGAAGCUUUGAUCUAAUUUCUUCCAAAUGAAUAAAAAAAGUGUGUUGAUAUUUGACGGUUUGGGCUCCACUUUGGCAAUCACGAUUGCUUCCAGUGUCAAACAACAAAGUCGCAGUAAUUGUGUUUAGCUUAUUUGUUAUUGUCGUAUGUAGACAGAGAGGGAUGAAAACAACCACACACUGUGGGUCUCCUAAAGGUUACAUUUGGGUUGACGGUGAAUUCAGUUGUAUGAGCCAGAGAACCAAACAUUAUGGGAGGAGAACCGAUUUCUGAAAAUGGUAUCUAAAAGAAAGACUCAGGUGAGUUGAUUUAUUCAUGGUUGUUUUGAUCUCCUAAUUAGAAGCCAGUUUUAUUAAAACAAGUUUUAUUUGGAAUUUUAGGAGAAAAUAUUGUGGUUGUGGUUAGUUUAUUGAUUCAUGUUUAAAAUUUUCUUUGUUUGGUAUGGAGGCAACAUGUCAGGCGAUUAGGCCUGUGUGUUAUAUGGGGUUGAGUGUUGGCCUACUAAGAGACGACAUAUCUAACAACUAAAUGCCUACCCUAACUUGCUUGGGACUAAAAGGCUAUGUUGAUGUUGCGAUGGUGUGGAGGCAACACAACAAGAGUGAUGGACCCAACAUAUGACUUUAGUGAGAACCAGUUUGUUUAGUGGCCAGAAGACUGUGCAGGUCUAUAUUCCUUGUUGAUAAGUUCCCUUCUGUGAAGCAGACUGAUCUAUCAUGCCUAACCACUCGCCUUCUCCAACGCAGCUUGUUCUACUUCUGCUUUAGUGACUGUACCUUGGAUGUUGAUUCCAAAACCUCUUCUUUUAAAGAAACAACAUCAACAUAAUACUGGUAUAUUUUUAUUACUAUUAUACUAUUUACAGGGUAGCCGUGGAAUAUGUGUUGCAAUUUUCCUGUAGCAUUGGAAGAGGAGCAUUUUGGUGCUUCUGCCAGUUUCUAGUUGUUGGUUUGCAACCAACCGAUAACUUUUAUUAUCACCUCUUUUACCCAAAAUAGCUUGACAUGUCAUUUGAUGGUUAUCAAGAAAUGUGUUGUGGUUUCGAAAGAAUGAUGAUGUCAUAUAAAAACAUCACAUAUGUGCCAUUUUUUGUCCGGAUAGCUACCUUCCUAGCAUUACCUGUUUAAUGAAAAAUUAUAGACAUCUUUCAAAUUCACAUGAUAAUAACAAAGUAGUAUCAAGGAACUAAAUAAUGUGUCCACCUGUAAGCAAAAGAUGUUUGGUCUGCUGGAGCACUUGUCUCGGGAUACACAGAGGCAAAGUUUGAAUCAUGAUAUAUAUUGGUCCAACUAUUGCUCAUUUCUUGAAAUGUUUCAUGGGAACAUUUCUUGGAAAGUUUGGAUCGUGAUAUUGGUCCAGCUAUUGUUUGAUGAGAUAGCAAAUGUUCGAGAACGGUUGCUCGACUUCUUCAUGAAUGAGAUGAUAGAUAUUGGUGGAUCAUGCAGGGUUGAAGGAGCUUCAUAUAACUAAAUCUAGCAUUGCUGUCUAGGAAAAGAAGGAAUGGAACUCGAAUUUUGGUGGCCACACAAGCGUGGAGACUUGAAUAUAAUUCAUAUAUACUUAGUUGGGUUCAAAUUCAACGUUAGCACAAAUAGUUAAUGACUAAGUUUUUCACUUAGUAUUUCAUUUUUGAUUUAAAGGACACUUGUGUAUGAGUUAUUUUACAAUGCUUAUU